ensembl:lncRNA
CAGCCGACGGGAGAAGGGCUGUUAGCUGUCAGUCCGCCCAGCUGUGACAGGGAGAUGAGGGAAUCCAGCUCCAUCUGCCACCAAGCAGAUCAAUAUACUGCUGCGUCUGGAGUUUUCCUCACACACCCUCUGCGAGGCAAGAAGCGUACCAGCCAGCGGGAGCAGCUUUCCUUAUUGUCCUUGAGCUCUGAUCUCCACAAAAUCUUCCCUCAUCCUGCUGAUACUCCUGGAUCAUCAAGUUUUCUCUACAUCUCUGAAUCACACGGCACAGAAGUCUGUGUUCAUCUGGUGGUUUGAGAACUAGCUGCCCUGAUACCAAGCAAGGCUUGCCAGAAAUAGAGAUAAGAGACUGUCAAUACCUGCUCUUCCCUUCAUGCACACGGGAAGCCUGUGAUGAAUGUUUUGGAUUCAUAUAACUAUUGCCCAAGGGCCACCAUUUUAAGGGAAGCUCCAAGGCUAGGGCUUAACCCCCAGCAGAGCUUUUGCUGGAAAUAAACAAGCCCAAAAAAUACCA